GAUGAACGCUGGCGGCGUGCCUAAUACAUGCAAGUCGAGCGAAUGGAUUGAGAGCUUGCUCUUAUGAAGUUAGCGGCGGACGGGUGAGUAACACGUGGGUAACCUGCCCAUAAGACUGGGAUAACUCCGGGAAACCGGGGCUAAUACCGGAUAACAUUUUGAACCGCAUGUUCGAAAUUGAAAGGCGGCUUCGGCUGUCACUUAUGUAUGCACCCGGGUCGCAUUAGCUAGUUGGUGAGGUAACGGCUCACAAAGGCAACGAUGCGUAGCCGACCUGAGAGGGUGAUCGGCCACACUGGGACUGAGACACGGCCCAGACUCCUACGGGAGGCAGCAGUAGGGAAUCUUCCGCAAUGGACGAAAGUCUGACGGAGCAACGCCGCGUGAGUGAUGAAGGCUUUCGGGUCGUAAAACUCUGUUGUUAGGGAAGAACAAGUGCUAGUUGAAUAAGCUGGCACCUUGACGGUACCUAACCAGAAAGCCACGGCUAACUACGUGCCAGCCGCCGCCGUAA
rnacentral:rRNA from 1 species